AACGAACGCUGGCGGCAUGCCUAACACAUGCAAGUCGAACGAUUGCCUUCGGGUGAUAGUGGCGCACGGGUGCGUAACGCGUGGGAAUCUGCCCUUGGGUUCGGAAUAACAGCUGGAAACGGCUGCUAAUACCGGAUGAUAUCGCGAGAUCAAAGAUUUAUCGCCUGAGGAUGAGCCCGCGUUGGAUUAGGUAGUUGGUGGGGUAAAGGCCUACCAAGCCGACGAUCCAUAGCUGGUCUGAGAGGAUGAUCAGCCACACUGGGACUGAGACACGGCCCAGACUCCUACGGGAGGCAGCAGUGGGGAAUAUUGGACAAUGGGCGCAAGCCUGAUCCAGCAAUGCCGCGUGAGUGAUGAAGGCCCUAGGGUUGUAAAGCUCUUUUACCCGGGAAGAUAAUGACUGUACCGGGAGAAUAAGCCCCGGCUAACUACGUGCCAGCCGCCGCAGUAA
rnacentral:rRNA from 1 species